GCAGACGUAGCUCAGUUGGUAGAGCACUAGGUUGUGGUUCUAGUGGUCGCGGGUUCAAUCCCCGUCGUUUGCCCCA
rnacentral:tRNA from 1 species